GGGGUUUUAGGAGUCUGUGGAGUUUCUGCUAUCAGCAUAGAAACAUCAGCACCUCUUUUACGCCCCCUGCUGCUGCUUUGGCUCAUAACACUGUCCUCAGCAUCAGCCAUAACCUCAGCCUCCUCCUUCUCUGGCUCACCUGCCGCCUCCGCUUUAACGUCAUUUGACCCAGGACAUUUCCCACCUCUUCCUCUUCCUCUCCCUCUUCCUCUCCACACAGGUGCUGACUGUUCUCCCUCCUCCGGCUCUUCUGCUUUCACACUCUUCCUCCCGUUCCUCCCCCUGCCUCGGUUCUGAGUGGCCACACUGCUGCUGGAUCCGUCAGAGCUCCUGGAGUUGGAGCGAGAGUGAGCAGCCUGCUUUACGUCCUCCUUCUCAGUAGAGGGCGCUGUGGUAGUUCUUCUUCUGCCUGAUGGCCUGCCUGUCUCAUUCACUUCUUCAACAGCUUUCCUCCUUCCCCCCCUUCUUCUUCCUUCGGUCAGGCUAUCCUGAGUGGACUGCUCUGAACACACAGAGUUAGAGGAGUUGGAGCGCGAGCGAGUUCUUUUAGCUGGACCGCCUUCGUCCUCCACACCAGCAGGCGGCGCAACAGAUUUCCUGGCAGCGCGUCUGCCUCGUCUGGGUUUCGCUUCACUCUCGGCUUGUUCAUCCUCUUGCUUUUUACUGCUCCCUUCUUCACAUUCUUGUUUUUGUAGCUCACUUAAUUCUUGUUCAGAGUCCAGUCUUUCUUUAGUUCCUUCUUCUAAUCCUUGAUCCUCCUCUUUCUUGCUUUUCCCUCCCUUUCUUUCUAGCCCCGCUUUCCGUUUCCUGGUGCUGGUCUCUUUUCUUUUCCCACACCCUCUUUAUUGUCUUUACUCUCUUUUUCCUUCUCCUUUUGUUCCAUUUCUUUUUCUUGUUUUUCCUUCUCUUCCCUCGUUUCUUUCUCUAGCUGUUCUUUCUCUUCUCUAUCCUUUUUUUCUCUUGCUAAUCGGUCCAUUUCUUCUUGUUUUUCCUUUCUUUUUCAAGCGUUUGCUCAAGCGCUUGUCUUUCCCUCAUCUCCUUUUCUUCCUUUUCCUUAUUUUCUCCAUCAAUCCUCUCGUGUUCUACCCUGUCUUUUUCUUCUUGUUCUCUCCUUUCUUUUUCCGGCUGCUUCUUCCUUUCCAAACUUUCCAUCUCUUUCUCUUCUCUUUCCUUCUUUUCGCUCUCCGUUCUCGCUCUCUCCAGUUCACGUUCUUCCCUCUCUUCCCCCUCCUUCCUCUCUCUUUCUAGCCGAUCUUCUUCUUCCUUCUUCCCCCUCUGCAGUCUCUCACUUUCCUCCUCUUUCUCUUGCGUUUUUAAAUGCUCUAUUUCUUCAUGAUCAGCUUCCACUAGCUCGAGUCUGGCCUCGGCAUCAUCUUUGGAUUUCUGCCUCGUCCUCUUUCGUCCUCUUCCUUUGUUCCCUUGAUCUACCUCUUCUUCACUGUCCAACUCUUGCACUACUGUCACUCGCUUCCCUCUCUUCUCUUUCUCUGCCGUAGCUCUUCCUCUGCCUUUACCCUUGCCAGAUGCUGCUGUUGCUGUUUCUUUUCCUCUCAGGCUCCUCCGACAGUCUUGCUCUUCCUCCUGUCCAUCCAUCUUCAUUGUUUCAGCAGAAGAAUCGGGAUCGAGAGGUUGUGUGGGCUCAACUUUAGAAGUCAGCCUUCCUCUGCCGGAUUUUCUACCAGAUUUGGCUUCACUCUGUGGCAUUUCCUCCCGUUCUUCCUCUUCUUCACACAUCGGUAGGGUUUCAAGAAUGGCGACACGAGACUCGACAGGUUUUGCUGGCUUCGCCUUAGCGUUACGUCUCCUCAUACUGGAUCUCUUGGUAGAUAUGGCUUCACUCUGUUGCUCUUCUUCCUGUUCCUCCUUAUCCUCCUCACACAUAGGCUGCGUUUCAGCAACGGUCACACUGGUGACUUUGUCAGACUCGACAGGCUCAACUUUAGCAGCCCGUCUCCCUCUACCAGGUCUUCUGCUACUCUUAGGUUUAUUCUCAUCUUCCUCCUGUCCUUCGUCUUCAUCACACAUAGGCAGUGUUUCAGCAAUAGCAACAUGAGCAUGAUCAGGAUGUGUUCGCGCUUCAUCUACUUUAUCGUCAUUUUCUACUCUAUUCUCGUCCCUUUCCUUCUUCUCCUCUUCUGGCCCGUCACUAGUCACUUCAUUCUUCUUUUCCGUCACCGUUCCGUCAUUUUCUUUUCUUUUCUCCGCAUCAUUCUCUUGUCCCACGCUUUCAUUCACUGCAUCUCGAGCCCUUUCUUCCUCAUCCGUCUCUUGUACCUCUUGAUCUUUGUUCUCAUGCUCCUCUUUCUCCGUCUCCUCCUGUUCUUUCUG
ensembl:lncRNA